UUCAAAGUAUUUGAAGGUAGCACUCUGGUCAGUACAAGCAAUCUAACUGUCCUCUGCUGUCAUCUCCAGUGUAAUCCUCUCCCAUUGCAGAGCAGGUGCCCUCGGCCAUCUUGGUGUUCGUCCAUCAGUAUGAGAGCUUCAAGGUCUGAAAGACGAUGAUGCUUUAAAGCAGCUCUUCACCCUAAAGGGCUCCUGCACUGGACAGUGGUGUUACCCCAGACAGCAUUGGGUUGGCAGCCCCUUCCCUUCAGUAAUUCAUCUCAAAUAUUCCUCGUGCUGCCUUAGAUUGAUGAUGUUUUCCCCUUCCCUUUCUCUUUAUAUUGUCACUUAACUGCUCCGACUUAUAAAGCUGUUAAUCUUUCACACACAUGCUUACGUUAAGCAGCUUAAGAGCACUGCAAACACUUUAUCCUCAUAAAG
rnacentral:lncRNA from 1 species